UACGUAGGGCGCAAGCGUUGUCCGGAAUCAUUGGGCGUAAAGCGCGCGUAGGCGGCCCGGUAAGUCCGCUGUGAAAGUCAAAGGCUCAACCUUUGAAUGUCAGCGGAUACUGCCGGGCUAGAGUCCGGAAGAGGCGAGUGGAACUCCUGGUGUAGCGGUGGAAUGCGCAGAUAUCAGGAAGAACACCAACGGCGAAGGCAGCUCGCUGGGACGGAACUGACGCUAAGGCGCGAAAGCGUGGGGAGCGAACAGG
rnacentral:rRNA from 1 species